GACGAACGCUGGCGGCGUGCUUAACACAUGCAAGUCGAACGGAAAGGCCCUGCUUUUGUGGGGUUCUCGAGUGGCGAACGGGUGAGUAACACGUGUGUAACCUGCCCUUGACUUUGUGAUAACUUCAGGAAACUGGUGCUAAUACCGUAUAGCAUCUCCUGCUGCAUGGUGUGGGUUGGUAAGUUUCGGCGGUUGGGGAUGGACUCGCGGCUUAUCUGCUUGUUGGUGGGGUAGUGGCUUACCAAGGCUUUGACGGGUAGCCGGCCUGAGAGGGUGAACGGCCACAUUGGGACUGAGAGAGGGGCCAGACGCGUACGGGAGGCAGCAGUGGGGAAUAUUGCAGAAUGGGCGGAAGCCUGAUGCAGCAACGCCGCGUGCGGGAUGACGGCCUUCGGGUUGUAAACCGAUAUCGGAUGUGACGAAGCGUGAGUGACGGUAAUGGGUAAAGAAGCACCGGCUAACUACGUG
rnacentral:rRNA from 1 species